rnacentral:rRNA from 1 species
AUUGAACGCUGGCGGCAGGCCUAACAACUGCAAGUCGAGCGGAGCGGCGGACGGUUGAGUAAUGCCUAGGAAUCUGCCAGGUAGUGGGGGAUAAUUUCAGGUAACGGGCGCUAAUCCCGCAUCCUAUCAGCUUAGCCUAGGUCGGAUUAGCUAGUUGUUGGGGUAAAGUACUACCAAGGCGACGAUCCGUCACUGGUCUGCGAGGAGGAUCAGUAACACUGGAACUGAGACACGGUCCAGAAUCCUACGGGAGGCAGCAGUGGGGAAUAUUGGACAAUGGGCGAAAGCCUGAUCCAGCCAUGCCGCGGGUGUGAAGAAGGUCUUCGGAUUGUAAAGCACUUUAAGUUGGGAGGCGUUACCAACAGAAGAAGCACCGGCUAACUUCGUGCCAGCAGCCGCGGUAAUUC